AGAGUUUGAUCCUGGCUCAGGACGAACGCUGGCGGCAUGCCUAACACAUGCAAGUCGAACGGAGUUUUUGUUUGGAAGUUCUUCGGAAUGGAAGAAUAGAACUUAGUGGCGGACGGGUGAGUAACGCGUGGGUAACCUGCCCUUUUGUGGGGAACAACUUCGAGAAAUCGGAGCUAAUACCGCAUGAGCUUAUGGUUCUGCAUGGAAUUAUAAGGAAAGAUGGCCUCUGAAGAUGCUAUCGCAAAAGGAUGGACCCGCGUCUGAUUAGCUAGUUGGUAAGGUAACGGCUUACCAAGGCGACGAUCAGUAGCCGGCCUGAGAGGGUGAACGGCCACAUUGGGACUGAGACACGGCCCAA
rnacentral:rRNA from 1 species